rnacentral:rRNA from 1 species
AACAAGGUUUCCGUAGGUGAACCUGCGGAAGGAUCAUUAAUGAAUUGAAAGGGAGUUGAUGCUGGCCAGGUCUCUUGGCAUGUGCUCGCUUCCGACAAUCUUAUCCAUACACCUGUGCACACUGUGAGGGCACGAAAGUGCCCUUAUUUACUACAUACACCUAAUUUGGAAAUCGCACGUGACUUGCGUCGUAUGGCGCUUAAAUAAAUACAACUUUUAACAACGGAUCUCUUGGCUCUCGCAUCGAUGAAGAACGCAGCGAAAUGCGAUAAGUAAUGUGAAUUGCAGAAUUCAGUGAAUCAUCGAAUCUUUGAACGCACCUUGCGCUCCUUGGUAUUCCGAGGAGCACGCCUGUUCGAGUGUCGUGAAACUCUCAAGCUAGAUGCUUUAGUGUCAUCUGCUUGGUUAUUGGACUCUGCUGUCUCCUUGUCUGGAACGGCUGGUCUCAAAUGUAUUAGCUGGCUCUUGUUGUGGGAAUUGGUUCUACUCAGCGUGAUAAUCUAUGACCGCUGAGGACAUCUCUCGGGAUGGCCAAGCCUGCCUUGAACUGCUUCUAACUCAUCAUUUCAUGAUAUUUUUCAACUUUGACCUCGAAUCAGGCGGGACUACCCGCUGAACUUAAGCAUAUCAAUAAGCGGAGGAAAAGAAACUAACAAGGAUUCCCCUAGUAACGGCGAGUGAAGCGGGAUGAGCUCAAAUUUAAAAUCUGGCAGUCUUCGAUCGUCCGACCUGUAUUCUAAAUCAAGAGAAGCGUUUUCCGCGCUGGACUGUGUACAAGUUUCCUGGAUACGGAACAUCAUAGAGGGUGAGAAUCCCGUCCUUGACACAGACUCCCAGUGCUCUGCGAUGCGCUCUCGACGAGUCGAGUUGUUUGGGAUUGCA